rnacentral:tRNA from 3 species
CGCGGGAUACAGCAGUCUGGUAGCUAAUCGUCCUCAUAAGUCGAAAGUCGUUGGUUCAAAUCCAACUCCCGCACCCA